AAAAACAUCUAAGUCUUUCUUAACAACUGCCUUCCCUACAACUUAAAAUCUUAUAUCUUUGCCUUUUAAAUUAUGUAAUAUCUUGCUUAAUAGGUUAUAUCUUAGAUAUCCAGGUGCUCCUUCCGUCUUCUUCCAAUACUAAGUUCAUCUGCAAUGCUUUCAUUGGAAUCCAGUAGGUAAAAUGAAAUUAAUCUUUGUAACCUAACAAACUUAUCCAGCACAUGCUUUUAAAAUACUAAUGAAUAAAUAGUCUUUGACCCCGAAAUCUUUAUUCAGGCAGGCCACUUGUUGGUAUUGAUUACUUUUUUAUAAUCCUGGUUUCAUGGGAGGCAGAGGCAGGAGGAUCUCAAGUUGGAGGCCCGCCUGAACAACUUUUAGUGAGCCCUGUUUCAGUAACUUGAAAGGAGAUCUGGGAAUGUAGUUCAGUGUAGAGCACUUGCCUAGCAUACAUGAGGCUCUAGGUUCAGUUCCUAGUACCACAAAAUAAGUAAGUAAAUAAAUAACUAGAUAGAUAGAUUAAACCUGUGGGAUGGAGAAUUUGCACUGCACAUAAAAGUUUUAUUCUUGUACAAUAUUUUGAUUUAUAUGCUUGUGAAUAAAAGUGUGUAUUUGU
rnacentral:lncRNA from 1 species